AAUUUCGUAGCUGUUACUAUGGUCUUUCCUUUUCCUAAAUACAUACAUGAGUUUUGUUGUACCAUAUAUUGCUGUAAAAGCUAUGAUAAUAUUGCUCCUCCGUUAUGGCUACUGUGCAUUAUAAAAUCCAGAACAACUUUUUUGCUUUGAUGCCUAACUUGAUCUGGAGUUCUUAUUAUCUGUUUGAGGGUCGAGCCAACCUGGCCAGCUUAUGUCAGAAUCGAUAAUUGAUCAAUCGAAUAGUUUGGAAGGCCUCUAGUUAUGCUGAUUGAGAAGCCACAUUAUAGCCGUAUAGGUAUGGCUCCCAACAUUUGGAGAAUUUUCAGCUGAAUUAUAUCCAAUCUGUGACCUUCUAGACCUGCAAGCGAGAACAUGUGUAAGGUAUGUUAUGUGAAGAAGAUCAUAUUUUUAUUUUCUUUUACAGCUAUGACCGUGAACCCUUCUACGAACCUUUUAUGACUGAGUUUAUUGUCAGUUUCUUUCUUUCUCAGUUUCCCUAUUAUGCCACUUUUUUGCCCUAUCGGAAUUGUUAGUUGCUCGUGUUGUGGAGAUUUUGUUAGCUAUGAUUCGAGAUUCUGUUUUACCUCAUUGUCAUCUGUUUCUCCUUUUUAUGGUACUAGAUGCUUAUAAUAUUUUCUCCAUGUUUUUUCAUCAAAAAGUUAUCUUCUUCCUUGUGGUCACUGGUCAGGUAUCCUGCUUCUCUCCCGACUGCUCCAAUGCAGUCGAAAUUUUCAGCUUUAAUACAUAAAUUUCAGUUGUUUUCUGUUUCUUUCUAUUGACUCCAAAUGUUUGUAAGCAGAAGACUCCAAAUGUUUGUAAGCAGAACUUGCUCUCUGUUCCUACAAACAACGGACACGGGCCGUGAAGAACUCAUGCACCUCCUAGCCUGGCCCCUUCAUAAGGUAACUAGGUAAGUUUUCACCAACUUCAACCCAAUUUUAAUUCUAAAAUGUUUUACAAAUCAUUGUAAUGACAACAUAUUUCGUCAAUUUGUAACAAAAUAGACAUGCCCGGAAUGUCCCUAGCUAUUUUGGUGAUGGGUAUAUGAUCAUCUGGAGCAGAAGUUGGCUCCAUGUAUCGACCGGGCCAGGCAUGCACCAAUGCAAGCAAUCUCUAUAAUCAGGGGCAGAUCCAGGUUUGGUAGAUAGGAGAGGCUGAACUUGUUGAAAUAUAAAACUAGAAGGUAUUGCACGGGAUUUCGGGGACGGUAGCCCCGAGCCAAUUUUUUUUGGGCAGUUUGUACAGAUCGUUUUGUGUCUAAGUUUUGUGUCUAAGUAGAAUUUUAAUGUCUUUAGGAUUUAAAAAUCAAUCACAUAAUAUAAUACUCCCUUCGUCCCGGUCAAGACGCUAUAUUUAUUUUUCGACACGGGAUUUAAGGAGUUGUAGAUUAAUGUUUUAAGUGUGUAAUAAUAAAGUGAUAAAGUAGGAGAGAGAAAGUAAUAAAGUGAUAAAGUAAGAAAGAGAAUGUAAUAAAGUGAUAAAUAGGAUAAAGAAGGUAAUAAAGAAAUAUUUAAUUAGUGUUAAUUAGUGUUUAAAAUUUCUUAUUUUUGCCAAAUAUAGAAAUGUAACAUCUUCGAUGGGACGGCCCAAAAAGGAAUAUGUAGCAUCUUGGGCGGGACGGAGGGAGUAUAUAGUUGUACCUUUUUUAUUGAUUCAACAAUAGGUACAUUUGAAACACAUAAAGAACUACAUCUA
rnacentral:lncRNA from 1 species